AACAAAACAGCCAAAAUGGUGGUUAGGAGAGAAGGGAUGUAGUAGUUUAGCCUGACACUAGGGGUCAGCAGGGCUAAGAGUAGGGGUGGAGCAGGAGUAGAAACUAAGAUGGAAAAAAACAAAGAGCCAAUAGAAAAAUACACUUUCACAGUAUACACUCGUGCUAUUUACACCUCUUUGAGAAGUGUUUGUCACAUAAACACAGGAAAUUAGCUGACUUUCCAUGAUGAUUUCACAAAUGAGCUCCGCUGCAAUAAAUCAGUACUGGCACAUUCAGUUCUGCAUGACCGCAUGUCACCAUGGUAUCAUCAAUCAUUACAGUGGUCAAUUUGAGAGCCAUUAUAGCGCAAGUACACAGCUUGACUAUGGCAAAGUCCAACAUCUGCGUGUCAUAAACAUGCAAAUUUAAUACAAGUCAACAAACUGCCAUUAUGAAAUUCAUUGUUACGGCUGCUGUUUAUGUCCAGACAAAAAUUACUGCUUCAGAUGAAUGGCUUUAUUAUCAGUGAACAUUAUAAAAUGAAUUGGAGCAACUGUUUCCGCUUGGUUGCUGACUCACAGACCUACUGGUGACCCUCUUGUAUGGGUCAGAUGAGACAUUAAUAAUCAGAAGACCUUAGAGGAGAGCACAGCACCUGGCCUGUUAAUACAUUCAGUACAUGUAUGAACCUCACUUCAACUCUAAGACUGUUCCAGCCAUUCAGCAGCACAUGGUAGGGUUAUCACAGGAACAUCAGAAACAGACGAAAAGGAAGAACAAAGCCUAUGCCUGCUCAGGAAGGCGUCAUGAGCCCAUUUCGUGGCGAUACACCAAGGCAUCGCAGAGAUAUUGGCCCACUUCCUGUUUGGUGGCUUCGCCGCCGAUUUGGAUUGGCUGUUAUGGCAAAAGAGUUUGGAGUUCAGACAUGAAACUUCAACCAUCAGCCAGACACGGUCUGAAGACCAUAUCCAUCAAGUUUCAUGUAAAUCAGACAAAGUGUGUGCCCUCUGUAAUCAUAAACGUGUUUUUGACUAAAUUCAAAAUCUUUAUGCAUGUAUUACACAGUCCUUUACCAAGUGUACUGGGAUGUCUCAGAGUAUCAGUCAACACUGGAAUGAAGGUUAAAGUCCAAAGCAAUAUGAAGAUAUAAGAAAAAAUGCAUUUUGGCUACUUAUAGCGCCACCUAAAGGUCAAAGGUCACCAAAAUGAUUGGGCCUCUCAAAGAAGUGGUCACGAGUCUGUCUUAGAAGUUUGAAGUCGAAACAUCAAACGAUUGCCGAGAUAUGGCCUCUCUUCCUGUUUGGCGGCGUCACCGGUGAGUUUGAUUGGCUGCUACGGACAAACGGAAGUGAAAUUACAAAAUCCACAUGAUAACUUUUGUGCAGCUUGGUCUGAAGACUAUGUGUCAAGUCUCAUGGAAAUUGGACAAUCUGUGUGACCUGAUGCUUUUUGAAGGUUUUUGAUAAAAUUCAAAAUGGCAGAAAAUCCAAUAUGGCGCAAAUUAACGUCAUAGAGUGCGUUGAACUCGUCUUGAUCAGCAUGGCGUUCUAAGGGCUGCCAUAGACUUCAAUUGCAGCGGAAAGUAGAUCAAUAAUAAUAAUAAUAAUAAUAAUAAUAAUAUAAGAAUAAUAAUAAUAAUAAAAUUAGGAAAAGCUACAAACACAAUGGUUGCCUUUGCAGGCUACGCUGCUAGGCACCCAAUAAGAACUCUAAUAUAUUUAUUUCUAAAUGUAAUUCCUGCAGGACAGAGACACUUAUUCAGCUGAGCACAACUUCCCUGAACAGUAUCAAAUCAGCUGAUACACAGCUGUUAACUUAGUCAAGACGCUGGUUAAGACACACAUUUAAUCCAACAGGCGUGCAAACAUCAGCUGAUACCAGAGACGUAACAGUGACAGCAGACCUGAAGAAAGUGGUAGUGAUGUAAGAGAAGUUUGAAAAGAGUCUAGACUGCUUCCAUCCAGACUGUCUCCACUAACACCUCAGUGAGGCCAGCUGAUGGCAAAUGGUGGAAGAGUCGUAAAGUUGAUGGGAGACCUGAGAGAAUGAACCUUCUGUCAGGAGCAGGGCACCAGCGGCAGUCGGGCUCAGCCACCAGCCACCUCCUGAGCAUGAACUCUUCAUACUUCUCCAUGAGUGCCCGGUCCCCCAGGAUCAUCUGGAUGUCGUGGGGGU